GCCGCCUGUCGGAGUGUCUGCCUGUCUGACCUCAGGUCGUGCACAAGCCCCUGUAAGUGUGGCGCCAGUGGCUGGACAGUCCAGACGAUACCAGCUGAUACCCUGUCAGCAGUGACGGCCGUGUUACCAGCACAAAAGAACUGAGAGUGUUGUGACACUCUGAAUCAAGUGGUGCUUGCCUUGUGGUGCUAUAGAUGUUAAAAGAAAUCUACAAGCAGUUAUAAUAGAGCCAUGAGGAGAGCUGGCUGGUGGAGAGACGGGGGGCAGUCUUCAUUGCUGUCCUCCUCUUCCUCCUCCUCCACCACACUCUCAGACAGAGAUAAUGGGGGAGCUGAUAGCAGCCUUGGAGACUGCUGUGGCUCCAAGCACAGAUAUGGACCGAUAACGCCUCCACCACCUCGCCUGCU